GCCUUCAUGGUGUAACGGUAGCACACUCGGCGCCUAUUCGAGAGGUCCAGGUUCGAAUCCAAGCGAAAGCA
rnacentral:tRNA from 1 species